rnacentral:rRNA from 1 species
ACAUGCAAGUCGAGCGGUAACAUUUCUAGCUUGCUAGAAGAUGACGAGCGGCGGACGGGUGAGUAAUGCUUGGGAACAUGCCUUGAGGUGGGGGACAACAGUUGGAAACGACUGCUAAUACCGCAUAAUGUCUAACGGACCAAAGGGGGCUUCGGCUCUCGCCUUUAGAUUGGCCCAAGUGGGAUUAGCUAGUUGGUGAGGUAAUGGCUCACCAAGGCGACGAUCCCUAGCUGGUUUGAGAGGAUGAUCAGCCACACUGGGACUGAGACACGGCCCAGACUCCUACGGGAGGCAGCAGUGGGGAAUAUUGCACAAUGGGCACAAGCCUGAUGCAGCCAUGCCGCGUGUGUGAAGAAGGCCUUCGGGUUGUAAAGCACUUUCAGUCAGGAGGAAAGGUUAGUAGUUAAUACCUGCUAGCUGUGACGUUACUGACAGAAGAAGCACCGGCUAACUCCGUGCCAGCAGCCGCGGUAAUACGGAGGGUGCGAGCGUUAAUCGGAAUUACUGGGCGUAAAGCGUACGCAGGCGGUUUGUUAAGCGAGAUGUGAAAGCCCCGGGCUCAACCUGGGAACUGCAUUUCGAACUGGCAAACUAGAGUGUGAUAGAGGGUGGUAGAAUUUCAGGUGUAGCGGUGAAAUGCGUAGAGAUCUGAAGGAAUACCGAUGGCGAAGGCAGCCACCUGGGUCAACACUGACGCUCAUGUACGAAAGCGUGGGGAGCAAACAGGAUUAGAUACCCUGUAGUCCACGCCGUAAACGAUGUCUACUAGAAGCUCGGAACCCUCGGUUCUGUUUUUCAAGCUAACGCAUUAAGUAGACCG